GAUGAACGCUGGCGGCGUGCCUAAUACAUGCAAGUCGAGCGAACAGACGAGGAGCUUGCUCCUCUGACGUUAGCGGCGGACGGGUGAGUAACACGUGGAUAACCUACCUAUAAGACUGGGAUAACUUCGGGAAACCGGAGCUAAUACCGGAUAAUAUAUUGAACCGCAUGGUUCAAUAGUGAAAGACGGUUUUGCUGUCACUUAUAGAUGGAUCCGCGCCGCAUUAGCUAGUUGGUAAGGUAACGGCUUACCAAGGCGACGAUGCGUAGCCGACCUGAGAGGGUGAGCGGCCACACGGGAACUGAGACACGGUCCAGACUCCUACGGGAGGCAGCAGUAGGGAAUCUUCCGCAAUGGGCGAAAGCCUGACGGAGCAACGCCGCGUGAGUGAUGAAGGUCUUCGGAUCGUAAAACUCUGUUAUUAGGGAAGAACAAAUGUGUAAGUAACUAUGCACGUCUUGACGGUACCUAAUCAGAAAGCCACGGCUAACUACGUG
rnacentral:rRNA from 1 species